UGUGACCUACGGGAGGCAGCAGUGGGGAAUAUUGGACAAUGGGGGGAACCCUGAUCCAGCGACGCCGCGUGAGUGAAGAAGUAGUUCGGUAUGUAAAUCUCCAUCAGCAGGGAAGAAAGAAAUGACGGUACCUGACUAAGAAGCCCCAGCUAACUACGUGCCAGCAGCCGCGGUAAUACGUAGGGGGCAAGCGUUAUCCGGAUUUACUGGGUGUAAAGGGAGCGUAGACGGCGAUGCAAGUCUGAAGUGAAAGGCGGGGGCCCAACCCCCGGACUGCUUUGGAAACUGUAUAGCUGGAGUGCAGG
rnacentral:rRNA from 1 species